rnacentral:lncRNA from 1 species
GAAAUCACAUAUAUUUUUAAGAGUAUAAUGGAUAUGCACUAAUAAUAUAAAUUAAUUUAAAUUAUAAAUUUAUUACUAAAUCAUGUGAAACCAUUAAUUUAAAAGCAUUAGUGUAAUUUUAUAGAAUAUAUUAUGGUGAUAGUGUAAAAUAAUAAUAAAGUGAAAAUGCAUCUUUUAUUUUUCAACAUUUAUUAAAAAGUUUAAAAAUAAUAAUAUAGAAUAAAUUUUC